rnacentral:rRNA from 1 species
CCUACGGGUGGCAGCAGUGGGGAAUAUUGCACAAUGGGGGAAACCCUGAUGCAGCGACGCCGCGUGAGUGAAGACGUAAUUCGUUAUGUAAAGCUCUAUCAGCAGGGAAGAAAAUGACGGUACCUGAGUAUGAAGCCCCGGCUAACUACGUGCCAGCAGCCGCGGGAAUACGUAGGGGGCAAGCGUUAUCCGGAUUUAAUGGGUGUAAAGGGAGCGUAGACGGCUGUGCAAGUCUGGAGUGAAAGGCGGGGGCUCAACCCCCGGACUGCUCUGGAAACUGUACGGCUGGAGUGCAGGAGAGGUAAGUGGAAUUCCUAGUGUAGCGGUGAAAUGCGUAGAUAUUAGGAGGAACACCAGUGGCGAAGGCGGCUUACUGGACUGUAACUGACGUUGAGGCUCGAAAGCGUGGGGAGCAAACAGGAUUAGAUACCCGUGUAGUC